AAACUAACAAGGAUUCCCUUAGUAACGGCGAGUGAACCGGGAAAAGCUCAAAUUUGUAAUCUGGCUGUCUUCGAUAGUCCGAGUUGUAAUCUAUAGACGUGUUUUCCGUGCUGGACCGUAUCUAAGUCCCUUGGAACAGGGUAUCAAAGAGGGUGACAAUCCCGUGCUUGAUACGACCACCAGUGCUCUGUGAUACACGCUCUACGAGUCGAGUUGUUUGGGAAUGCAGCUCAAAAUGGGUGGUAAAUUCCAUCUAAAGCUAAAUAUUGGCGAGAGACCGAUAGCGAACAAGUACCGUGAGGGAAAGAUGAAAAGCACUUUGGAAAGAGAGUUAAACAGUACGUGAAAUUGUUGAAAGGGAAACGAUUGAAGUCAGUCGUGUUCUUUGGAUUCAGCUAGUUCUUCUAGUCUACUUCCUUUGAACGGGUCAACAUCAGUUUUGUCCGGUGGAUAAAGAUAGUAGGAAUGUAGCUCCCUCGGGAGUGUUAUAGACUAUUAUUGCAUGCACUGGGUGAGACUGAGGACUGCAGCUCGCCUUUUGGCCGACCUUCGGGUACGUUCGAGCUUAGGAUGUUGACAUAAUGGCUUUAAACGAC
rnacentral:rRNA from 1 species